rnacentral:rRNA from 1 species
CCCAGCUCGUCAUGCUAGAGCACUUUUUCAAUGUGCUCCCACGAGAAGGCUAUGACGCAUUCGUAUGUCAAUACAUAUCAACUUUCGAUGCCAUUGACUGCGCCUACCAUGGUGACCAUGGGUAACGGGGAAUCAGGGUUUCAUUCCAUACAGGGACCCUGAAAAACGGCUACCACAUGCAAGGAAGGCAGCAGGCGCGCAUUUGACCCACUCCCAACACGGGAAGGUAGUGACG